GACGAACGCUGGCGGCGUGCUUAACACAUGCAAGUCGAACGGAAAGGCCCUGCUUUUGUGGGGUGCUCGAGUGGCGAACGGGUGAGUAACACGUGAGUAACCUGCCCUUGACUUUGGGAUAACUUCAGGAAACUGGGGCUAAUACCGGAUAGGAGCUCCUGCUGCAUGGUGGGGGUUGGAAAGUUUCGGCGGUUGGGGAUGGACUCGCGGCUUAUCAGCUUGUUGGUGGGGUAGUGGCUUACCAAGGCUUUGACGGGUAGCCGGCCUGAGAGGGUGACCGGCCACAUUGGGACUGAGAUACGGCCCAGACUCCUACGGGAGGCAGCAGUGGGGAAUAUUGCACAAUGGGCGGAAGCCUGAUGCAGCAACGCCGCGUGCGGGAUGACGGCCUUCGGGUUGUAGCCCGCUUUCGCCUGUGACGAAGCGUGAGUGACGGUAAUGGGUAAAGAAGCACCGGCUAACUACGUG
rnacentral:rRNA from 1 species